AUUAAACAAACAAAAGGUACAAUAUAUAAAAAGAAAGAAAAUAGAAAAAGGGGUUUAUUUCAAAUUAACAAUUUGUAGAGUUCAUCUGAAGGAGUGUGAUUUCCGGUUGACCUCUGGUGGGUGAUCACGGGAGAAAGAAGUUGGUUGGAGGAGGUACCAUGGUGACGAAGAGACGCCACGGACUAUUAAGUGUUUACCGUGUAAUUUUGUAAUGCUGAACUGUGGACUGUUUGCUAGUUAACUCGCUCGUCCGUGUGUGUGUGUGUGUUAGUUUGGGACUGUUAGCGGUCAACGAGAUAUGUUUUUUAUUUUUUCACUGAACUAGCUAGAGCUAGCUUGAUUGGCUGAACCGCCGCCAUUGUGGGAGAAACAACCGCCUUCUUCACCUGCGCGAGAGUGGAGGAGCUUCAGCGGCCUUCGCGGAGGAUUUGCCCGUCACUGAAGACGGCCCGCUAUUAAGACAGGAUGUAAUUCCUGUUAAGUGGUUCCGGCUGUUUGUAGCUGCCGCAACUGCGGACCUAGAUGAGUGUGACCACAGGUGUUUUCUCCAGACACGCGACUGAGCGGCUGAAAUGAACCCAGCAGAGGAAGCAGACAGCUUAAAUGGCAGAGGGGAUGAGAGAUCGUGGUGACAGAUCAGAAGAUGUGAGCUGUCUUCACUCCGUGGUAUUUGGCAACCUCUGACACUGGACCCGUCACAAGCGGUGAAAUGUUCCAGUCCACGGUAUCUGCUGUAAUUAUCCCAUGUCCGAUUUUGGCUGAUAUCUCAGAGGCACGGCUGCUCAGGAGGCAGCACUAAUCUCAUUGGUUGAGUUCAACCUCAAGCGAUGGAACCACAGAACCACAGCGAGGUUCACUGUUUCUCCAUUGUGGCUUUAUCGCUUUAAGAGAAGACGCUUGAGGAGAAAAUUAGGGAGUGAAGACGACAUUAAGUAGGUAUGCAUAUGUGUUAGUGUGUGUCACGAUGAGUGUCUGCAUGCAUGGGUCCAUGUGGUUGUUUAUUUAGUCAUGCAGUGACCAUCAUCUUUCUCUUUUUUUCUGAUCCGCCGCUCUGGGAACGAGCCAGCGCACAGUCUGUACAAACUCCCAAGUGGCCAUCACGACAUGAAAAAAAAACAAAUGCACCUGUGGUGUUGCUCUUGCGCAGCUCAGGAAAGCUGAUAUGAGCCUUGGCAGGUUGACUAUUGCCUCGAGGUUCAUGCUGUCAAGCCCAUCUGGCUGCGGCCAGUGCCAAAUCAUGCCCUGUCAGCCUUGGUUAUGCUGCCGUCCACCUACAUCCUUAUGAACACCUCCAGGACGUAACCUGUCCACUGUCCCCGUCUUGCUCCUCUCAGUUCCUGUGAUCAUCUCCUUUUUCAUUAGAUAACGCCAAUGUUGUGACUGUUGUUGUGUUUAAAAGUGUUUAAGAAAACAAGUUUCUUAAAAAGGAACCCUGACGAUUGAGACUUGUAAGAUUAACGUUGGCAUCAGUUAUUUAUAAAUAUAAGUGUUAAAAUAUGGGGCCUUUAAAGCUACUUGUAGACCAAAGUAAAUCAAAGAGUAUUCAUGAUACAACAUCUUGUGUCGACACAGAACCAUGUUGCAAAAAUGAUUUACACAUUUACAAAGCUAUACAGAAUAAUCUUACAAAAUGUUAGGUGGCAGCUUCUCCUACUUGAUUUACUGCAACCGUAAGUCAAAGGAAAAGAGCAUCACAGCACAGCCCACACUGUUUAACAAGUGCAGCAAUACAAUGGCACCAAAAAUGGAGAAAACAAAGUCUGUAGAUUAGCUCUUUAAACUUUGUCUCCUCUUGUCACCCACUCAUGCUCACCAGGGAACAAUGUGUCUAUGAAGUUCCCCUUCAUCUAUUUGUAAGGUUGACAUUCCCUCCACCUCCACAGCCGCUGUAACUGUAAUGCUUCACUUGUAAGAGACAAAUGACUAUAAAGAGAGAAGUUAUAAAAAAUGCAAGCUAUCAGAGAGAGCCAAAGGAAAAAAAAAAAAAACUCUCCCCAAUAAAUAAUUAGACAUUAAUGAAGUUGGCACAGGAAGAAAAUUACAACGCUCAGUCUGGAGAAGAUAUUCACACAAAAAACUAAAUGAAGAAGAGAAUAAAUUAAAAUAGACUUGACAUUAAAUAAUCCUGAUGCAGGGAAGAUGAAUAUUGGCAGGGAGCCUGUUGUUGGUAAGAGUGUGUUGAGUUUUCAGUGAGUUUCUGCCAGGAGAUAAAGAUAGAUGACAAAGCUUGUGUGGGAGUUUUGUGGGUGUUGUGUUACUGAAGGAAAAAAAAAAAAGUUUCAAUUAGUUGAAAUCUUUAUAUAAAUCCACAUGUGAAGCUGUUGAGAGCUGCAGUUUCAUCUGCGGUGUCAGUGGAACAUUGUUGCCAUCGCAACACCUGUCAUAUACUGAUAUACCGUGAGUGCCAACAACACCUGCACAUGUCACCUGUGAUACUUCGAAGCCACUUUCACCAGAGCUGAACUUCUUCAAACAAAUUACAACUCACGUCUUGUAAAAUUUAGAUUUCAUUGAUUAACCAAAGUGUCUAAUUUCCAUUAACAGCCUCUAAAGGACGACAAUUUACUGAAGUGUUUUUUUUCUUUGCAGGCAGUUCCAAAGUUGGACAGAUUGGAUCUCAUUACUCUGUCAUCAUGCCUCAUAAACAGAUUUCUUAAUCAAUCAAUAUCAAAUUAAAUAUACAGCGUCCAAUACACCAUGAUGCAACUUUUACAUCAUGGUGUAAAACAUUCAUUAAUUCAUCCGCUUUUAGGGUUGCAGGGGGGGCUGGAGCCAAACCCCCGCCGACAUUGGCUGAGGGCCGGGUACGCCCCGGACAGGACGCCAGUCUAUCACAGGGCUAAGCAUAGAGCAUAUACACCUGUGCUCUGUUUGUUCUGGGCUACCAAUAUAAUCGUGCUAACUAACACUUAAGCACGACAACAUGUUAAGUGAUUGAUUGCAUCUAUAGCAUUACUUUGACUGUAAGAACCCAGCACGCAACUCUCAUCCUCAUUCUUCUGUAUUGAGUGUUAAUCGUAAAAAAUGGAAAGAAAAAUGUACAUUGAUCAUUUUUACCCUUUUCUAAAUGAUCAAAUAAUCUUUUUUACUAAUUGUUGUACAACAUGAAAUCUUACUUGUGAAUAAUAUUUCAACCUGCAUCGUCCUGCUGCAUAUUCUGACCAGCACUUCUCUAAAAAUUAAAGGUUCUUAUUCUCAUCUGUCACAGCUCUAUGUCGUAAUGCUAAAAACUGAGA